CCUACGGGAGGCAGCAGUGAGGAAUAUUGGUCAAUGGGCGGAAGCCUGAACCAGCCAAGUCGCGUGAGGGAAUAAGGCCCUACGGGUCGUAAACCUCUUUUGCCGGGGAGCAAGGGCGGGGACGUGUCCCGGGCCGGAGAGUAACCGGAGAAAAAGCAUCGGCUAACUCCGUGCCAGCAGCCGCGGUAAUACUGAGGAUGCGAGCGUGAUCCGGAUUUAUGGGGUUUCAAGGGUGCGUAGGCGGGCUUUUAUGUCAGCGGUAAAAAUUCGGGGCUCAACCCCGUCCGGCCGUUGAAACUGGGGGCCUUGAGGGGGCGAGAAGAAGGCGGAAUGCGUGGUGUAGCGGUGAAAUGCAUAGAGAUCACGCAGAACCCCGAUUGCGAAGGCAGCCUUCCGGCGCCCUACUGACGCUGAGGCACGAAAGUGCGGGGAGCGAACAGGAUUAGAUACCCCAGUAGUC
rnacentral:rRNA from 1 species